UACGAAAUUGCUAUUUACAAGAUCAAAAAUAGGUAAAAUAUUUAAUUGAUUUAAUGAACACGUCUAUUUGAAAUGACGAUAUGACACCCAUAACCUUUAAAUCUUGGAUCCGCCUCUAAUUAAAUCAUCAUGAAAACCAUUAAGCAUGUUGCAUAAGAAAAGCUAAUAACUAACUCUCUUUCUCUUCAUGUCCUGAUUCAAAUAAAGCUCGUACAUGAACCUCCGAGUUAGACCUUGCAGACGUCCAUGGCGGUUCAUGCUCAAUUUGCGAUCUAUUCAUUAACUCUCCAUGUCUCUUUCCAAGUGUUGAUCACUAUUAUCAAGGACGGACACACGUUAUAUAAAGGGGUGUCACCCGACACUUCUUGAUCAAAUUUUUUUUUUAUAUAUAAUAUAUGGUAAAAGUGAACAGAGAAAUUUAAUAAAAAUGACUUUAUUUCAACGUUUGAGCUUCCUAGCUCUGUGGCAAGUGCGCUACUAGUAAACUAUGCAGCACGAGUUCAGACCUUUAUAGUGAUGGAUUUUCAUUUUUUUUGUUUAUAAUAAAAUGACUCCCUUUUAUCUUUAAAAAUAUCUGAUUUUGAGUUAGGCUCGAUUUGACAACUUAUUUAAAUGUCGACAUCGCGUACCAUCAAGUAAUACUCCUACUCCUCAUCAUGACCACAUAUAUCUAAUUGUACAAUAUAACUUAGACCUCAUUUGUUUUCAUUAAGAUUAAAACCUCUGAAUCUGAAUGUACAUCUAAAUGAUUAAAAUGUUGUCUCUAGAUCUGAACACUGAAUGCUUAAGACUGUUUGUUUUUUAGUAUUUGAAUGUAUAUAAUUCAUAACUAUAUAAGCAUAAUAACUAUAUAAUUCAAAUAAAAUUAUAUUUUGGUGUUUAUCUAAUAAAAUAAUUUUAAAAAAUUAUUACGUGAUUAAAAUUUAAUAUUUUUAAAUAAAUAGUUUCGGUUUGUAUGUAAGAAUUUUAAAAAACAACCUCAAAUUAAUAAUUUUUUUAUACAUGUGUGUAAAUAUCCUCGUGUUAUAAUUUGAAGAAGUUCUUGGCAUAGAUCCAAAAACAUAUCAGAAUAAAAAAGGCAACCCAAACAAAUGUAUAACCUCUUAUUAACUAGAAUAAGUUCUUAAUUUUAUAAAUAAUAAUAUUACUAUGUGAAGUUAAACGCUUAGUGAGAAUACAAAAAAAAAAAGUAGUAUGUAAGAAUAAAAAAAAGACAACCCUAAAUUAAUAAUCGCUCUCUUGUGUUAUAAUUUGUUAUAAUUUGGUGUUACACUACUAAUUUUAUAUAUUGAGACGUUAUUGGGGAUAGAUCCAAAAAUAUAUAAGAAUAAAAAAAGGCUAACCAAACAAACGUCGAACCUCUUAUUAACUAGAACUAGUUCUUAGUUUUAUAAAUACUAAUAUUACAAUAUGAAGUUAAAUGAUUGGUGCCUUUUGAAAAUAUAAACAAAAAACAAGUAAUAUCUAAGAAUAAAAAAGGCAACCCUAAAUUAAUAAUAUUUUUAUGCAUGUGUGUAAAUAUUUAAGGUCUCCUUUUAUAAUUUGGUGUUAGGCUUUUAAUUUUAUUGAGAGGUUCUUGGCAUCACAUUUUCUUUUAGAAAAAAAAAACAAACAUAAUACCAAACUUUUCUAGCACAGACUUUGUAUUAUCAAAUAAGCACACGAGACUACUAAAUUUUAUAAACAAAAUCUAAAAUUGUAAGUAAAAUUUUAGAGUUCUUGAGAAGCAAACAGUAAUACCAAGAAUAUUUCAAAGAUACUAAUUAAUAACAAAGUAUUUAUAAAAAGUUUUUUGAAAACAUACCUGUUCAAGAGGAAGAAAAUUCAACUCCGAGCUGAAAGAGUAAUAAUGGAGAGAUGGAGAGAGAGAGCAACGCAUAUAAGAGAAAAAAUAACAAUGCAUGGUGAUAAUGGAGAGAGUGGAAGAGACGGCAACAUAUAUAGGGAGAAAAAAUAAGGAUGUUUGAGUUUUGCAAGGAUAUAAAUUAGCGUUAAAAAGAGUCUGAAUAGAAAUA
rnacentral:lncRNA from 1 species